rnacentral:rRNA from 1 species
UACGGGGGGGGGCAAGCGUUGUUCGGAAUUACUGGGCGUAAAGGGCUCGUAGGUGGCCAACUAAGUCAGACGUGAAAUCCCCAGGCUUAACCUGGGAACUGCGUCUGAUACUGGAUGGCUUGAAUUCGGGAGAGGGAUGCAGAAUUCCAGGUGUAGCGGUGAAAUGCGUAGAUAUCUGGAGGAAUACCGGUGGCGAAGGCGGCAUCCUGGACCGAGAUUGACACUGAUGAGCGAAAGCUAGGGGGAGCAAACGGG